GAUGAAGAACGCAGCGAAAUGCGAUAAGUAAUGUGAAUUGCAGAAUUCAGUGAAUCAUCGAAUCUUUGAACGCACAUUGCGCCCCUUGGUAUUCCGAGGGGCAUGCCUGUUCGAGCGUCAUAUUAACCACUCCCGCUUGCGGGGUCUUGGGCUUCGCCUCCGGGCGGGCCUUAAAAUCAGUGGCGGUGCCGUCGGGCUCUACGCGUAGUAAAUUUUCUCGCGAUAGGGUCCCGGUGGAUGCUUGCCAACAACCCCCAACUUCUUAAGGUUGACCUCGGAUCAGGUAGGGAUACCCGCUGAACUUAAGCAUAUCAAUAAGCGGGA
rnacentral:misc_RNA from 1 species